rnacentral:lncRNA from 1 species
GGCUCCUUGAAGACGCCCGUGGUGAGAUCAGCCCCAGGUCGCCGCUUCCACAGACAGGCCUUUUCCUAAAGUGGAUGAAGGGAGUCAAAUAGGCCAGGUUCGUGUCUUGAUCUGCCUUUGCUGUCAUUCACGCAUCUGUCCUCAUGAAGGCUUAACCUACCAUGUUUAUCAGAAAUCUCAGCCUAAAUUCAUUCGAUUUUUACCUAGAGAUGAGGAAUGUGUUAAAUCACUCUACUCCACAAGGAACCAAACCAAACAGCAUCAGCACCAGGCUGAGUCGCGGAAAGGAUCUGUCAGACCGCUCCACUGGCAUCGACUCAGCUCGGGAGCUACGUUCAAAGAAGGGGGACAUUUAAGGUGAAAGGGUUGCAGGCAGAGGGGCCUGGAGCAGCAGGAGGCCACCUCCCAAAGGCUCCACUCCCAGGGGCCAACAGAGAGACCACAUCCAGAAUUGAACCAGGGAUACGCAGACACCAACGGAGAAGACAUGAGCGUCAACCUCCUCCACGGAGCAGCACGGCUUCUCUACUGACAUCCAUGAACUAGACUACAACUCUCUAAGUUAAUCAAAUUUACUAAGUUAGUUAUCACCGACAUCACUGUUCCAUGUCAAAUCCAUGGAUUCAUGAGUCAAAGAAACAGCAGUGAACAGCCUUCAGGCUACGGUUUGGGCCAUUCCUCUGCCAGCGUAUUCCAGCCAAAGUCUGUUUUCCUAUCAGACUACUCACUGCAAGGCACAGAAGUGAGCGCGGGAUCUAAGGCCACACCGCAGGGUCUGAACUCACUUAACUGGCCCAACACUGCACAAGAUACUUAAUCCUCCUGAACCUCAGUUUCUUCAUCUGCGUACGGGGGAUAUGAACCCCCACAUGCUGGACUGCUCUGAGAAUUGAGUUAAUGCGUGUAAAACAUGAGAGCUGCUCUGGCACCCACCAGGCGCUCACCGGGCGCCAGCACCACCAGUGCAUACCUCGACCGUGUGUGGGCGCACAGGCCUCCGUUCCUUUUUACUCCGACCGAUGCUUCUAAGGAAGUCUUCGACCGCUUUUUCUGUCUGAGGCAUCUGCUGAGGAGUCGCAUUCACUGAACACCUGUUUGAAAAAUUAUGUAUACAUAAAACCACUGUUAGAAAAAACAGUUUUAGUAAUUCAUCACAUUUUGUAUAACUCAAUAAUGUUGUUUUUAUAGAAAAUACUGUUCAGAGUGUUAAACAGCAGCCAAAUGUGGAAAUGCCACGGCCGCCUCCCUGCUCUUCAGUGCUUCAGGUUAUCAAGAGAUUUCCGCACAGUUCAAUGUGGCAGCUAAUGAAGCCGUCCAUACGCGGAGCCUGUGACUCUAAACUCUAGUUCUUCUGAAGAGCAAAGAAAAUACAGAGACUAUUAAGAUCUGCUAACCGUGCCUUCGGAAUUACACUAUCAAAACACUGACAACUUUUAAAAUUACUGUCCAGAAGUCAUCAAUUUGAAAAUGUGAACUGGUUGUUAAAGCAGAACAUUAUAAACUGCAAAAAAAUACCAUGCUCUCAAAGUUACAUGAAAAUAGAACUCUUCCAAAUUCCACAGAAUUGCAAAUACUACUAUCAUAUAAAAGCUACUUGAACUCUACAGUAUAUUGACAGAGUGUAUAUUUUUUCCUUUCAGCUGUAAAUCCUGAACUUAUUCUAGUUAAAGUAACAGCAGGUACCAUUAUAUUAAUACUAACUAUAUCCCAGGCAUGUAUGCUGCCUUGCAGAUAUUCUUUCUUUUAUUCCUUACGAUAAACCUGCAAAGGAAGGUUUUAUGGAGGAGGAAGCAGAAGACGCAAGUGGGUCAGCUGCCCAGGACCGCCUGGGAGCGAGUGUGAGUGCUGACCCGGCGGCACCAGAAGCCAGGCCUGCCUGAGCCCAAUGCCAAGAGACCCUGAUCGCCAGGCUUCACCUCUGGCCACCCACAGACCGCCCUGUAGAAUCUGCCAGGGAUUCUCAGGACAUGACUGGGGAAAGGCAUCAGGACUCUGUGUGAAGAAGGACAAGUGACUUCAGCAAACAUUUUCUUGUUAAGUACUGAUGAAUACAUCAAUGUCACUGACAAUAAGAUGCUGAAAAUAAACAAUCAUUUUUAAACUUUAUUCAUGCUCACACAUCUGAGGGCAUAAGGCCAACUGAAGGUAUAGGACUGAGCUGCCAGAUGUUUCCUCAAAGCAUCACAUAAUUUUAUAAGAAACUGCACUUUUACUCUGGUCUUCAGCAAGCUCACCUUUACAGAUACCUCAGUUACGGACCAUGUGCUUUUGGAAGCAAUAUAACUACUUGCCCUCAAUCUAUUUGCACUUCUAGCACAAAAUUAGCCUGCUUUCUUCCCCAUCUCCUACAACUUUUAAUAGGCUUAAAAUAUUUUCUUAGUUUGUUAGAACACUUGACAUUUACAAUAAAUUCUAUAACCUUUAGCGUUCACAGUGACCUGUCAGGACCACGUCCAACUCUGUGACAGGGCAUGGUGCUAUUCCUGGCUUCAGGCAUCUGCUGGAGUGCAGUGGCACCGUCACAGCUCACUGCAGCCUCAAGCAAUCCUCCAGCCUCAGCCUCCUCAGUAGCCGGGACUACCAGGACUACACCACCACACUUGGUUUUGGACCAUAUUUCAAGAUAACCCGAUAGCCCAGCUGAUGUGGAGCUCUUCUUUGAAGAAGUCCAGCAAACAAAUGAAGAAGUUACAGAACUAGAAAACUUCGCAAACUCUACCCAAGGAUUGAGAAGAACAAUGGAUUUUUUGAUGUGUGGUGCAACAAACGCAUAGCUGAGGGCUGUAAAUCGGGAUGGAUCAGUCGGUCUGCCCACCAGCCGUGAGGGAAGUGGGGAGAAGCUGUCACCCCAACUUGAGUUCAAGAAGACUCCUUGGAAGAAAAGACCACCAAAUUGAGAAUGAAAAGGAAAGAGCCCAGAAGAGCAGAAGCAUGAAGUGAGCCUGAAAUACAUACGAAGGAGAAAAGAUUCAGGAAUGGGCAAGUCAGCUUUGAAGAAGAUCCGGGUAGAGGACUUCUUCUCCCUGCUAUUAAGGCCUCACUGGCAGAGCAGCAGAGAAGGAGAGAAGAGAAGAAGCAGCCAGACAUUG